GAGAUGCUGCGAAGAAAGUCCCCGUGCCUUGGUGCAGAGAGUGCGAGUGCGAGACCGCAGG
rnacentral:RNase_MRP_RNA from 14 species